GGCCCGGUGGGUGAAUGGCUCAGCCAGCGGACUGCAAAUCCGUUCAUGCGGGUUCGAUUCCCGCCCGGGCCUCCA
rnacentral:tRNA from 1 species